GUCCUUGAGUAGGGCGGGACACGUGAAAUCCUGCUUGAAUAUGGGGGGACCACCCUCCAAGCCUAAGUACUACUCUGUGACCGAUAGUGAACAAGUACCGUGAGGGAAAGGUGAAAAGAACCCCGAUGAGGGGAGUGAAACAGACCUGAAACUGAAUGCUUACAAGCAGUUGGAGCAACAUUAAGUUGUGACAGCGUACCUUUUGUAUAAUGGGUCAGCGAGUUAAUUUAUUGAGCAAGCUUAAGCCGUUAGGUGUAGGCGAAGCGAAAGCGAGUAUUAAUAGUGCGAUUUAGUUCGAUGGAUUAGACCCGAAACCGGGUGAUCUAGCUAUGGGCAGGUUGAAGGUGCGGUAACACGCACUGGAGGACCGAACCCACGUCUGUUGAAAAAGACGGGGAUGACCUGUGGCUAGGGGUGAAAGGCCAAUCAAACCCGGAGAUAGCUGGUUCUCCGCGAAAACUAUUUAGGUAGUGCGUUAUAUAUUACUGCCGGGGGUAGAGCACUGGAUGGGCUAGGGGGGCGCGAGCCUUACCAAACCUAACCAAACUCCGAAUACCGAUAAGUACAGCAUGGCAGACAGACUAUGGGUGCUAAGGUCCAUAGUCGAAAGGGAAACAGCCCAGACCACCAGCUAAGGUCCCCAAGUUAUGGUUAAGUGGGAAAGGAUGUGGGAAGGCCAAGACAGCCAGGAGGUUGGCUUAGAAGCAGCCAUCCUUUAAAGAAAGCGUAACAGCUCACUGGUCUAAAUAAGCCGGCCUGCGCCGAAGAUGUAACGGGGCUAAAGCCAUACACCGAAGCUGUGGAUGCCGUAAGGCAUGGUAGCGGAGCGUUCUGUAAGCCGUUGAAGGUAACACGUGAGUGUUAUUGGAGGUAUCAGAAGUGAGAAUGCUGACAUGAGUAGCGAUAAAGAGUGUGAGAAACACUCUCGCCGUAAGCCCAAGGGUUCCUGCGCAAGGCUAAUCCGCGCAGGGUGAGUCGGCCCCUAAGACGAGGGCGAAAGCCGUAGUCGAUGGGAAUCAGGUUAAUAUUCCUGAACCCGAUGGUAGUGACGGAUGACGUAAGUUGUACAUGCUUAUCGGAUUGUGUGUGCAGCGAAGUUGUUCCAGGAAAUAGCUCCAUCACUAGGACCGUACCCCAAACCGACACAGGUGGGCAGGUAGAGCAUACCGAGGCGCUUGAGAGAACGAUGUUGAAGGAACUCGGCAAAUUGCCCCCGUAACUUCGGGAGAAGGGGGACCUCCAUUAAGGCAACUUUUUGGGGGUGGCACAGACCAGGGGGUGGCGACUGUUUAUUAAAAACACAGGGCUCUGCGAAGUAGUUAAUACGACGUAUAGGGUCUGACGCCUGCCCGGUGCCGGAAGGUUAAAAGGAGGUGUGAGAGCUCCGAAUUGAAGCCCCGGUAAACGGCGGCCGUAACUAUAACGGUCCUAAGGUAGCGAAAUUCCUUGUCGGGUAAGUUCCGACCCGCAUGAAUGGCGUAACGACUUCCCCACUGUCUCCAACAUUGACUCAGCGAAAUUGAACUCUCCGUGAAGAUGCGGAGUACCCGUGGUUAGACGGAAAGACCCCGUGCACCUUUACUAUAGCUUCGUAGUGGUAUUAGUGAAUUGUUGUGUAGGAUAGGUGGGAGACUUUGAAGCAUUGGCGUCAGCUAAUGUGGAGUCGUCCUUGAAAUACCACCCUACAAUUCAUUGAUAUCUAACCAAGCUCCGUGAAGCCGGAGCUGGGACCCUGCGUGGUGGGUAGUUUGACUGGGGCGGUCGCCUCCUAAAAGGUAACGGAGGCGCACAAAGG
rnacentral:rRNA from 1 species